rnacentral:rRNA from 1 species
UACGGGGGGGGCAAGCGUUGUUCGGAAUUACUGGGCGUAAAGGGCUCGUAGGCGGCCAACUAAGUCAGACGUGAAAUCCCUCGGCUUAACCGGGGAACUGCGUCUGAUACUGGAUGGCUUGAGGUUGGGAGAGGGAUGCGGAAUUCCAGGUGUAGCGGUGAAAUGCGUAGAUAUCUGGAGGAACACCGGUGGCGAAGGCGGCGUUCUGGACUGCAACUGACACUGAGAGACGAAAGCCAGGGGAGCAAACGGG